UACGUAGGGGGCGAGCGUUGUCCGGAUUUAUUGGGCGUAAAGCGCUUGUAGGUGGCCACGUCAAGUCGGAUGUGAAAUCUCCCGGCUCAACUGGGAGGGGUCAUUCGAUACUGGCGGGCUCGAGGCCGGUAGGGGAAAGCGGAAUUCCCGGUGUAGUGGUGGAAUGCGUAGAGAUCGGGAGGAACACCAGUGGCGAAGGCGGCUUUCUGGACCGGUUCUGACACUGAGGAGCGAAAGCGUGGGGAGCGAUCCGG
rnacentral:rRNA from 1 species